AGUUAGCCGAACGGUCGCGUGAAAUAUUGAGGAAAGUCCGAGCAUCACAGGGCAAGGGUGCCGGGUAACUCCCGGUGAAGGCGACUUCAAGGACAGUGCAACAGAAAAAAACCGCCGCGUAUGCGGUAAGGAUGGAAAGGCGAGGUAAGAGCUCACCCGCAAUUUGGCGACAAUGCGCGAUGUAAACCCCACUCGAUGCAAGAUCGGGAGUACGAAAUGUGGCCCGCAAACUCCCCACAUCGCUUGAAACAUGCAGAAAUGUACGUUGUAGAUAGAUGACCGUUUAAGACAGAACUCGGCUUACAGACUAUCUCG
rnacentral:RNase_P_RNA from 1 species